AGCGCAGGAAGUUAUCUGAUCCUCUUUUAGAGGUGACGAUAAUGGAAUGAGCGGCGGACGGGUGAGUAACACGUAGGCAACCUGCCUGUAAGACUGGGAUAACUCGUGGAAACGCGAGCUAAUACCGGAUAACACUUUUCAUCUCCUGAUGAGAAGUUGAAAGGCGGCUUUUGCUGUCACUUACAGAUGGGCCUGCGGCGCAUUAGCUAGUUGGUAAGGUAAUGGCUUACCAAGGCGACGAUGCGUAGCCGACCUGAGAGGGUGAUCGGCCACACUGGGACUGAGACACGGCCCAGACUCCUACGGGAGGCAGCAGUAGGGAAUCUUCCGCAAUGGACGAAAGUCUGACGGAGCAACGCCGCGUGAGUGAUGAAGGUUUUCGGAUCGUAAAACUCUGUUGUUAGGGAAGAACAAGUGCCAUAGUAACUGAUGGCACCUUGACGGUACCUAACCAGAAAGCCACGGCUAACUACGUGCCAGCAGCCGCGGUAAUACGUAGGUGGCAAGCGUUGUCCGGAAUUAUUGGGCGUAAAGCGCUCGCAGGCGGUUCUUUAAGUCUGAUGUGAAAUCUUACGGCUCAACCGUAAACGUGCAUUGGAAACUGGGGAACUUGAGUGCAGAAGAGGAGAGUGGAAUUCCACGUGUAGCGGUGAAAUGCGUAGAGAUGUGGAGGAACACCAGUGGCGAAGGCGACUCUCUGG
rnacentral:rRNA from 1 species